rnacentral:rRNA from 1 species
GUUUUGUGCAAUGGGGGGAACCCUGACCGAGCAACGCCGCGUGAACGAUGAAGGUNUUNNGAUCGNANAGUUCUGUUGUAGUUNNNNNAAGCCUGGAAGGGUGGAAUGCUUUCAGUUUGACCCGAGUACCAGAAAGCCACGGCUAACUACGUGCCAGCCGCCGCGGUAAUACGUAGGUGGCAAGCGUUAUCCGGAAUUAUUGGGCGUAAAGAGUGAGCAGGCGGCCGUUUAAGUCUGAAGUCAAAUGCAGUGGCUCAACCACUGUUCGCUUUGGAAACUGGAUGGCUAGAGUACGAGAGAAGUAAGCGGAAUUCCAUGUGUAGCGGUGAAAUGCGUAGAUAUAUGGAGGAACACCGAUGGCGAAGGCAAUCCCCUGGGCCUGCACUGACGCUCAUGCACGAAAGCGUGGGGAGCAAACAGG